GUUAUCAGCACCAUGCUCUAACCAAGUGAGCUAACUGGCCAGCCCAACUGAAUAUAGUUUAAUAAAGCCUUGUAAAGGUUUGGGGGUUUUUAGAAGAAUCAAUAAAUAACACCUGAAUGAAAAUACCAGAACCAUUGUAAGAAUCCCACUGCCAGCCCCUGCCCUGUGACCUCCCUCUCUCAGAAGUACCUUGUCCCCUCUCUCCCACAGCAAGCCUUCAAUGCCACGGCCGUGGUGCGACACAUGCGGAAGCUGCAGCUGGGUACCAGCCAGGAGGGGCAGGGACAGACGGCAAGCCACGGGGAGCUGCUGACACCAGCAGCUGGGGGGCCAGCGGCUGGCUGCUGCUGUCGAGACUGCUGCGUGGAGCCAGGCCCAGAACUGUCCCCCACACUGCCCCCCCAGCUCUAGAGCUCUGGAUCUAGGGUCAGGAUCCUCAGCAAGGAGGGGCUGGGGGCAGUCUGCUCGCUUUCCCUCCCUGAACUGGGGAGUUACCCUGCCCCAUCCCCUCCUCACUGCAUUUUCCAUACAAAUGUUUCUAUUUUAUUGUUCCUUCUUAUAAUAAAGAGAAGAAGAUAAAAACAUAA